GAUAAACGCUGGCGGCGCACAUAAGACAUGCAAGUUGAACGGACUUAAUCGAAAUAUUUAUAUUUUGAAGCGGUUAGUGGCGGACUGGUGAGUAACGCGUAAGGAACCUGCCUAUUAGAGGGGACUAACAGUGAGAAAUCAUUGCUAAUACCGCAUAUGCCAUAGAUAUCACAUGAUAACAGUGGGAAAGGAGCAAUCCGCUAAUAGAUGGCCUUGCGUCUGAUUAGAUAGUUGGUGGGGUAACGGCCUACCAAGUCGACGAUCAGUAGCCGGACUGAGAGGUUGAACGGCCAAAUUGGGACUGAGAUACGGCCCAGACUCCUACGGGAGGCAGCAGUCGGGAAUAUUGCGCAAUGGAGGAAACUCUGACGCAGUGACGCCGCGUAUAGGAAGAAGGUUUUCGGAUUGUAAACUAUUGUCGUUAGGGAAGAGAAAGGACAGUACCUAAGGAGGAAGCUCCGGCUAACUACGUG
rnacentral:rRNA from 1 species